rnacentral:tRNA from 1 species
CGCAGGUCAGCGCCUCACCGGCCCAGCAUCGACCAAGCGCCAUCUAAGCACUUGGCCGCAGGUUCGAGUCCUGCAGCGA